GGGGAUGUAGCUCAGCGGUAGAGCACUUGCCUAGGACACAUGAGGUACUGGUUUUGAUUCCUAGCAACACUA
rnacentral:tRNA from 1 species